GUGUUUUUUUUUUUUUUUGAAGGUGCGAAGCGAUGAGCAAAACAAGAUGUCGGCACCGGAGCUGACUCGGGCAAGGUGAGCAAUGUCUAGUGGGCUGAAGUAGCGGUUAUUUUUCAGGUGUCAUAGUGUUGGUGAAGUUGUAAGCAUCGUUUGUUUGUGUUUCACAGGUGGUACCUGAGCCUCAACAUGGCAGCCCAAAGCGACGGAGGCCAGGCGGGCGAGCGGCCCAGGUAUAGGAGAGGGUAAGAGGAAUUGCUGUGGCCAGGCUGUGGUUUCAGGCAGUAUCUCAGCAUGUGCAUUUUUCUUGGUUUUUUUUUUUUUCCAGGUGCCGCAAGCAGCCUCAGAGGGGCGAAGCCGCAUGCCGGUGACCGGUCUGAGAAGGUGAGGCGGUCGUGGGCCGGGUCAGCGUCUAAUAGCGAAGUAUUAUAUGGCAGCUUGGUUAAGUAUUUACCUUUUGGUUUUUCAGGCACCGUGCGGGCUGCCUUUGGAAUUGGACGUGCAGUUGUGGUGCCACAAGCGAUGAUGGCCGCAGCGUACGACUCUGGAACGAGCAGAUGACGAAGAGGAACAUGGUGACUGUAGGAACCUCCCAGUUAGCUGAUAUGGGUGUGGCUUUUUUGUCGAGGAUGGUUUCAGACGCCCGGCCCUCUGACAGCUAAGUUGAGGGAGCAGGGAUGGGGAGCGGGCCCCGUGGGGAGGGGACGAGGUCGGGAACUGCAGGGAGGGG